rnacentral:lncRNA from 1 species
CAAGAGGCUAUCAAUCUAGGGAUGAGAAUAAUAUUUACCGGCCACUCUGUCGGCGGCGCAAUCGCUGCGCUUGCCACAAUCUGGUUCUUGGAAAAUUUCCCGAAUGCAAAAAAUGGAUCAUUCUUCUGUGUGACCUUCGGAUCUCCCCUUAUUGGUGACCACCUUAUUUCUCAUGCUCUUAGGAGAGAAAAUUGGUCUCAAUACUUCAUAAAUUUUGUUAUGAGGUGUGACAUUGUCCCUCGAAUUCUGCUUGCUCCUCUCUCAUCCAUUCGUCAAGAAUUCGAGAAAAUCAUCCCCUUCUUCGAUCCAUAUUCCCCCAACUACGCGAGUCAAUCGAUUGGAUCAUCCCCGGAGGCCUUGCAAUUGUUUACAAAUGUGAUGAGCAAUGCAUCAUCUGUUGCAAGCAGUGCAGCCUCUAAACUAAUGGGGAGUCCAAAUCUAUUACUCGAAACUGUAGAGAAUUUCCUUGAGCUAAGCCCUUACAAACCUUUCGGCACUUAUAUUUUCUGUACCGGGAAUGGAAAGCUGGUUGUCUUGAAAAACCCUGAAGCUGUGUUGCAACUCUUGUUCUUUACUUGUCAAUUAAGCAAGGAAGAUGAAUGGGGAACAAUCGCCAGUAAAUGCUUGAACCAGCAUUUGGGAUACAAAAAGGAACUUGAAGACAGCUUGGACAUGCAGAGUGUGACUUAUGACGAUCACUUAGAAACGGUCGCCUUAGCCUCAGAUGGUAUCUUUGAUGACCUUGGCCUGGUAAGUACUUUUUUCCCGAUAUCCAUUUGUACUUGAAAAUAAAAAUUAAAUGGUUAUCACAUGGGCCCUAUGUUUUAUUGCUUGGGGUCUUUAACAUGGUCUGAUAUUUUUCUUGUAACAUUGCAGAGUGCAAGAGCUAGACAAUGCCUUCGUGCAGCGGGAGUAUUCGAGGAGCAAAAACAAAAAAACAAGGGCAAAUUUGAUUCAAAAAAGGAAGAAAUGAAGAUAGAAAUGAAAAAACUGCAAGACUACCGAGACUAUUACGAGCACAAUGAGGGAUACUACGACGCGUUCAAGCUUCAAAAGAACAAAAAUGAUUUCGAAGCAAAUGUGACAAGGCUUGUGCUUGCAGCCAUAUGGGAUGAGAUUACCGAAAUGCUGAAAAAAUAUGAUCUUCCCGAUGAAUUUGAGGCUAUAUCAGAUUGGGUAGAGCUUGGAACUGAAUUUCGCCACCUUGUCGAGCCUCUUGACAUUGCUAACUUCUACAGACACGCAAAGGGCGAAGAUACCGGAGUCUAUAUGAAGAGAGGCAGGCCAAAGCGUUACAAAUACACACAAAGAUGGCUCGAGCACAAACUAAAACUGCCAGCAGGUUCCCGGGGGGAGUCCUGCUUUUGGGCAGAGUUGGAGGAGUUGCACAAACUUUCUGGUGAUCUCCCGGCGGUGAACAAGGAGAAAGAGAGGGUCUUGAAACUUCAGAGACAAGUAGGACAAUGGAUUCAGGACGGGGUUCUCCGCGAGGAUGUGUUGAAGUCAUCAACCUUCCAGCAAUGGUGGAGCAAACUCCCCAAUGACCUCAAAACAAACCCGAUUUUGGGACUCAUGAAUGGUUCAGGAAGUAUGCAGGUGUAGUAGUACGAAGUGAUAAUAAGAGGACGGAUGAGGGGCGUAGCCGAGUUGGCUAAGGCAAUUUGCCUACUUCCGUUCUGCACCCAAGUUCAAAUUCGCUCUCCAUAAUUUGGUGUUUGUUGUACUAUCUGUGUUUUGCUUUGUUUUCACUUGUAAUAGUCCACUAUGCACACGAGUUCGAAUCCGCUCCCCAUUAUUCGGUGUUUGUUGUAUCUGUGUUUUGUUUUGGUGUAGUUUUCAUUUGUGAUCGUCCAAUCAUUACAGUUCUCAUUGUAAUAGUUUUGGUUCCAGAUAUGCAAUGAAUGCUACAUUACAAAUAACAUUCAUAAUUUUUUUAGGGUUGUGAUAUCCGCACACCCGAUUUUACUUCUCACACACCCUUCUAAUUUUCGGCCGUUGGAUCGGAUUAAUUGAAGAAGAUCAACGGACAAAAAUUAACAAGGGGUGUGUGAGAAGUAAUUUGGGGUGUGUGGAUAGCACACCCCUUUUUUUAAGGCAACCAGAAGGGUCGCAGAAACACACGUGUUGAGUUUGUGUGGCUCGAUAUAUGUGUAGAAAUUUUUCAGUGUGUUCAGAAACACAGUUUGAUAUAUCAAAUAUUAUUAUACAAUCGGUUGAGAUUUUUUUUUUUCAAGUUUUCAACCAAAUGUAUUAUUACACUUGGUGUAACCGAUCGUGUUUUUAGCACAUUGAAAAUAUCUCUGUGGAUAUGGAUGGACGUAAUUAUACACUUAAAAAGUACCACAAUAAUAUACGAGUUUAAAUAGGUGCUAAUAGCGUUGAUGAAAAAAGAGAAAUCAGAUUACUUAACUACAAUGCAUUUUCCACAAAUUAAACCGGAAACAACUUUUUAAUUAAAAAUAGAACGCAAAGAACACUAAACCAACAAUAAAAAAUAAAAAAUAAAAAUAAAAAUAAAAAAAAUAAAAAAAAACAAAACCAGUGUCUUACCACAGAUUCCUUGUAGCUCAAUUUCACAGUAAAUUUCCAAAUCGACAGAGCAAACAUAAUUUCCUGCAAAUCAAGAAAGAAUGAAGUUACAACAACUAAGGAGUAAGAUUUUCUUCCCUCUUUUUUUUCCGUCUCCUUCCAUCUCCUCCUAUUUGAACGGUUACGGUUAAAUCACGUUAACAUCUUAAAUUAAUUUUUUAUAGAAAAAGAAAAAUAAAAUAGAGAAUGUGAAAACAAGAAAGGAAAGGAAAUAAAAAGAGAAAGGGAAAUAAUCUUAGUUCGAAGAGCUAUAGUUCCUAGAAGUUGUGGUUGACUCACAGGUGAAGUACAGCAAGUCAAGCCCCGUCAACCACGUCAAGCAAUAAUUGUUUAAAGGCAAUAGAAACUUGGAUUACGAUAUCUCAUAUCUCGAUCACGUUAUUCAUAAAAUAUUUUUUGAAGUAAAUUGUAAUAAUGAUCUCUAAAUUUUAAUUAAAUUAGAGCAAUAGUCUCUUAACUAAAAAUUUAUAAUCAUUGAUCCCUCAACUCAUCAAAAUAUGUAGUUAUAGUCAUUUUCGUCAACUUCGUUAGAAUUUUGUCAAAAUAAGUUAUGUUGAAAGAAACAUUGCCACAAUUAGGGUCCCUCAACUCAUCAUAACGUGUAGCUAUGGUCAUUUUCAUCAACUUCGUCAGAAUUUUAUCAAAAUGAGUUAUGUUGGAAUGACCAUUGUUACAAUUGGACUAAAGUUGAGGGACCAUUGCUACAAUUGAGUUAAAGUUGAGAGACCAUAGCUGCAUGUUUUGAUGAGUUGAGGGUCUAAUGGUAAUGGAUUUAGUUAAAGAAUUAUUAUUUUAAUUAAGUUAAAAUUAAGAGACCGUUGAUACAAUUUACUUAAAAAAACAAAAUGAAAGUAACUAUUAAUUUAUUGUAUACGCAUGGAAGACCACGUCAUCUGCACACCUACUCGCAACUAAGCGGGCUUUUGGUGGACCUCAAUAAAAACACGGUUGUUCUUGAUUGUGUGUGUGGGAUUACGGAUGACGAGGUGCUUUGGAUGGAAUCAAGAAUUCCUCCAAAAACCAGAAGGCCAAGUCUUUGGUCAAUGCUUCAGGGGUAUCCUUGUAAUUUCUUCAUCCAUCCCACCAUCUCCGAGCCGCAAUACCCAUAUCAAAUCAUCAAAAAACCAGAACGAAGAAAAAACACCAAAAAUACCAUAAUUCAGAAAAAUGGGUAGUGAAAGGCUUGGAGAGAUGUUGAGUAUAAGUGAGGAGCUUAUCAAGAAAAGCUGUUAUCUUUCCUUCCAGGCGCACAAAUUCCCAGAUGAUCUGUUUCGUGUCGAAAAAUUUGCUGCAGGAUCAUCAGAUGUUGUUUUCAGCUUCCCAGGAUCUUGGUCUGUGGAGAGUUGGGCUUCUGUAGAAAGUGCUUUUGGGGACAAAAAGAUCCAACUUUCACUCUUUCCUUCCAUGAAAAGCGUAGGUUAUUAUGAUGAAGCUGCAGGACCUGAUGAGCACCAAGAUUUUGCAACUGCAAGUUUCAACCAAGCCUUUCUGCAAAAGUUUGAACAUCUAUUGCAGAAUUCCCAGCUUAAAAAUAAGGUAUUUGUUAUUUUUAUUCAUUUGCUAUACACUAUAGUUGAGGGCGAGCGCAAUAGAAAUGUUGCCAGUCGUGAAAACAACUUUUUUGCAAAGCAAGAGUAAUGUUGCGGAUUAUAGACGUUCUCCCAACCUUUGUAAAGUGGAAAACAUGUUAGCUUGAUCAUCAUUUUUAUUCUUUACUAUUGUUUAUUUUAACGAAAAAUCAUAUUUUUACAUUAAAAAAUUAAUUCUGGAAUUAUACACUUUACCCUUUAUUUUUUCCUUAUCGUUAAAAUUCAAAGUUUUCAAGUUAUUUUCAUUAAAUUGUCUAGGAAACUUGAAUAAAAAACUCUCAGAUACUGUUCACUUUUAACGAAAAAUCAUAUUUUUAUACUAAACACAAAAUAUAAAUGAGUGUACUCAUGAUGAAAAUAAUAUAUAAGUGCCAAAACUAAUGCGGAUUUUUCAUGUAUAAGGACUUAAUAGCAUUAUGAUUUAAAGAAAAACGCUUCAAAUCCAAUACUUUGGAAAAUUAGCUUUCCGAUUUUAUAUGAGGAGGGCGCCAAAGCAUUUAUGCAAUUAAGAAUCAGCUAGAACAUAACAAGUGAAUAGUAGAGGGAUUUUUCCUCUCGAUGAGCCAUUUAAGUUGUAUAAAAUGUACAGUUUUCAAUGCGUUUUUCGUAGUUUACUAGCCUAAUAACACUGAGACGUUGUAUAGUUGGGGUGUGCUAUUCAUAUACCCCUUUUUACUUUUCACACACUCCUCGUAGAUUUCUGUCAUUUAUAUUUUUCAAUUCAUCUGACCCAACGGUUGAAAAUUAGAAAGAUGUAUAAAAAGUAUAAAUGAGUUUGUGGAUGUCACAACCCUUAUAAUAAAACCCUACACCUUUGGCUAUGCUUUAGUAGGCCCCUAUAUAAUGUGUUGCAGGAUGUUAAUUAAUUCGUAAUUCAGAUGGUCUUUCAUUCCUAUUUCUCUCAGGUGCAAGAGGCUAUCAAUGAAAAGAAGAGAAUAGUAUUUACCGGCCACUCUACCGGCGGAGCAACUGCUGUGCUGACCACAAUCUGGUGCUUGGAAAAUUAUCCGAAACAAAGCAAUGGAACAUUUUUCUGUGUGACAUUCGGAUCUCCCCUUAUUGGUAACCAUAUUAUUUCCCAUGCCGUUAGGAGAGAAAAUUGGUCUCAAUACUUCAUACAUUUUGUCAAGAGAUAUGACAUUGUCCCUAGAAUUUUGCUUGCUCCGCUCUCGUCGAUUCAACAUGA